GAUGAAGAACGUAGCGAAAUGCGAUAAGUAAUGCGAAUUGCAGAAUUCCGUGAAUCAUCGAAUCUUUGAACGCACAUUGCGCCCGCCAGUAUUCUGGCGGGCAUGCCUGUUCGAGCGUCAUUUCAACCAUCAAGCCCCCGGCUUGUGUUGGGGACCUGCGGCUGCCGCAGGCCCUGAAAAGCAGUGGCGGGCUCGCUGUCACACCGAGCGUAGUAGCAUACAUCUCGCUCUGGGCGUGCUGCGGGUUCCGGCCGUUAAACCACCUUCAUAACCCAAGGUUGACCUCGGAUCAGGUAGGAAGACCCGCUGAACUUAAGCAUAUCAAUAAGCGGAGGA
rnacentral:misc_RNA from 1 species